rnacentral:rRNA from 1 species
AACGAACGCCGGCGGCAUGCCUAACACAUGCAAGUCGAACGAUUGCCUUCGGGUGAUAGUGGCGCACGGGUGCGUAACGCGUGGGAAUCUGCCCUUAGGUUCGGAAUAACAGCUGGAAACGGCUGCUAAUACCGGAUGAUAUCGCGAGAUCAAAGAUUUAUCGCCUGAGGAUGAGCCCGCGUUGGAUUAGGUAGUUGGUGGGGUAAAGGCCUACCAAGCCGACGAUCCAUAGCUGGUCUGAGAGGAUGAUCAGCCACACUGGGACUGAGACACGGCCCAGACUCCUACGGGAAGCAGCAGUGGGGAAUAUUGGACAAUGGGCGCAAGCCUGAUCCAGCAAUGCCGCGUGAGUGAUGAAGGCCCUAGGGUUGUAAAGCUCUUUUACCCGGGAAGAUAAUGACUGUACCGGGAGAAUAAGCCCCGGCUAACUCCGUG